rnacentral:rRNA from 1 species
CAUUACCGAGCGCGCGCCCCUCGGGGCCGGUCUCCCCCCGUGAGAACCAACCCGUGUUGCUUUGGCGGGAGAGCGCUCCCGCCAGAGGCCCUAACCCCGUCCUCUCAGUGUCGUCCGAGCCUGUACAUAAUCGUGAAAACUUUCAACAACGGAUCUCUUGGCUCUGGCAUCGAUGAAGAACGCAGCGAAAUGCGAUAAGUAAUGUGAAUUGCAGAAUCUAGUGAAUCAUCGAAUCUUUGAACGCACAUUGCGCCCUAUGGUAUUCCGUAGGGCAUGCCUGUCCGAGCGUCAUUGCACCCCUCAAGCCUGGCUUGGUCUUGGGCGCCGCCCCCCGGGGCGGGCCUCAAACGCAGUGGCGGCUCCCCCGGGGCCCGCGCGUGGUGAUACGUCGCGAUGGGGCCCAGGGGCGCCGGCCAGCCUAACCCUUCCACCGGUUGACCUCGG